rnacentral:rRNA from 1 species
CCAGAGAUGGAUUGGUGCCUUCGGGAACUGUGAGACAGGUGCUGCAUGGCUGUCGUCAGCUCGUGUUGUGAAAUGUUGGGUUAAGUCCCGCAACGAGCGCAACCCUUAUCCUUUGUUGCCAGCGAUUAGGUCGGGAACUCAAAGGAGACUGCCAGUGAUAAACUGGAGGAAGGUGGGGAUGACGUCAAGUCAUCAUGGCCCUUACGACCAGGGCUACACACGUGCUACAAUGGCGCAUACAAAGAGAAGCGACCUCGCGAGAGCAAGCGGACCUCAUAAAGUGCGUCGUAGUCCGGAUUGGAGUCUGCAACUCGACUCCAUGAAGUCGGAAUCGCUAGUAAUCGUGGAUCAGAAUGCCACGGUGAAUACGUUCCCGGGCCUUGUACACACCGCCCGUCACACCAUGGGAGUGGGUUGCAAAAGAAGUAGGUAGCUUAACCUUCGGGAGGGCGCUUACCACUUUGUGAUUCAUGACUGGGGUGAAGUCGUAACAAGGUAACCGUAGGGGAACCUGCGGUUGGA